AGUGGCGGACGGGUGAGUAACACGUAAGAAUUUGCCUUUAGGAGGGGGACAACAACUAGAAAUGGUUGCUAAUACCCCAUAUGCUUUCGAGUGAAAUGGAUUUUUCCGCCUAGAGAGAAGCUUGCGGCUGAUUAGCUUGUUGGUGAGGUAAUGGCUCACCAAGGCGACGAUCAGUAUCUGGUUUGAGAGGACGAUCAGACACACUGGAACUGAGACACGGUCCAGACUCCUACGGGAGGCAGCAGUGGGGAAUUUUCCGCAAUGGGCGAAAGCCUGACGGAGCAAUACCGCGUGAGGGAUGACGGCCUAUGGGUUGUAAACCUCUUUUUUCAGGGAGGAAUCAAUGACGUGUACCUGAAGAAUAAGCAUGGGCUAACUCCGUGCCAGCAGCCGCGGUAAGACGGGGGAUGCAAGUGUUAUCCGGAAUCACUGGGCGUAAAGCGUCUGUAGGUGGUCCAAUAAGUCAACUGUUAAAUCUUGAGGCUCAACCUCAAAAUCGCAGUCGAAACUAUUAGACUAGAGUAUAGUAGGGGUAAAGGGAAUUUCCAGUGGAGCGGUGAAAUGCGUAGAGAUUGGAAAGAACACCGAUGGCGAAGGCACUUUACUGGGCUAUUACUAACACUCAGAGACGAAAGCUAGGGUAGCAAAUGGGAUUAGAUACCCCAGUAGUCCUAGCCGUAAACAAUGGAUACUAGAUGUU
rnacentral:rRNA from 1 species